GGCUUUUGUGGAAUGUAAAAAGUUCUACGAAUAAGGACUGGGUAAGACUAGUGCCAGCCGCCGCGGUAAUACUAGCGGUCCAAGUCGCAGCCAUUCUUAUUGGGUCUAAAACAUCCGUAGCUUGCUUGAUAAGUUUUCUGUGAAAUCUCAUACCUCAAGUAUAAGAAUUGUGGAAAAUACUGUCAAGCUAGAGACCGGGAGACGUAAAGAGUACGUCUAAAGUAGCGGUAAAAUGUGUUGAUCUUAGGCGGACUGACGAUAGCGAAGGCACUUUACGAGAACGGUUCUGACAGUAAGGGAUGAAGGCUAGGGGCGCAAAACGGAUUAGAUACCCGUGUAGUCCUAGCAGUAAACACUGCACACUAAACCUUGUGAUCUCUUCGAGAGAUUGCAGGGCUGCAGGGAAGCCGAAGAGUGUGCUACCUGGGAAGUAUAGUCGCAAGGCUGAAACUUAAAGGAAUUGGCGGGGAGACACUACAACGGGUGACGCGUGCGGUUCAAUUAGAUUAUACACCGUGAACCUCACCAGGAGCGACAGCAGAAUGAAGGUCAGUCUAAAGGGCUUACCUGACACGCUGAGAGGGGUUGCAUGGCCGACGUCAGCCUGUGCUGUGAGGCGAUCUGUUAAAUCAGAUAACAGGCAAGACCCACAUCUUUAUUUAC
rnacentral:rRNA from 1 species